GGCCUAAUGGUCUAGUAGUAUGAUUCGCGCUUCGGGUGCGCGAGGUCCUGGGUUCAAUUCCCAGUUAGGCCC
rnacentral:tRNA from 3 species